rnacentral:lncRNA from 1 species
GAAGUGCCCGGGAAGAGAAAGCAACCAGCAGAGGAGCACCUUAGGGGCCAAGAGAGAAAGAAGCAGGAAUGUAGACACUAAAUGGGUAAAUGCAACAUGAAUCCCUCCUAACCAACAAGUAAUUGUUCCAUAAGGCUCAAUAAUAAUACAUUUAUUUAUAACUAAAUAAUUUUAUUACUAAAUAUAUUUAAUUUAUAACUAAAUAUAUUAAUUUAAUUUAUAGAUGUAUUUAAUAUAAAUAUUUCACUAUAUAAAUGCUUUUUAUUAUAUAUUACAAAUACAUUUUAUCUGUUUUACAAAUAAUAUAUAAUGUUUAUAUUAUAUAUAAUUUUUAUAUAUUAUAGAUAUAAUUUUUUAUAUUUAUGUUUUUAUAUCUAUAUUAUAUAAUGUCACUUAUAU